rnacentral:lncRNA from 1 species
GUCAGUAUUAUUUUUUUUAGGCAUUCUAAUGAGUUUGUUGUGAUUCCUCGUAGUGGCUUUUAUUUGCAUUUCACUAAUGGCUGAUAUUAAUGACAAGAGUAUUUUUCCAUCCGUUUAUUCACCUCCAUAUAUGUAUCUUUUGUGGCCAAGUAUCCGUUCAAGUCUUUUGUCCAUUUUUAAAAUUGGGUUGUUUGUUUUCUCACAGUUGAGAUUUGAGAAUUCUUGGUGUAUUCUGAUCACAAGUCCUUUGUUGGGUAUGAGUUUUGCAAACGUUUUCUCCUGGUCUGUAGCUUGUCUUUUUAUUCUUUUAACCAUGUCUUUCACAAAGCAAAAGUUUUAAAUUUUGAUGAAGUCUAAUUUAUCUUUUUCUUUUUAAUGAAUCAUGCUUUUGCUGUCUUAUCUAAGAACACUUUGCUUAAGACCAGGUCAUAAAUUUUUUUUUUUUUUGCCUAUGUUUUCUUCUAAAAAUCUUAUAGUUUAUGUUUUUCCAUUUAGGUCUAUGAUCCAUUUUGAGUUAAUCUUUGUAUAAGGUGUGAGGUUGAAGUUGAGGUUUUUUUUUUAUACAUAUAAGGAUAUUUAAUUGUUUCAACCCCAUUUGUUGAAAAGAUUAUCAUUUCUCCAUUGGAUUUAAAUCUUUUUCAAAAAUUAAUUGGCUAUAUUUGUUUGGGCUUAAUUCUGAAUUUCCUCUCCUGUUUCAUUGAUCCAUGUGUCAGUCCCUUUGCCAAUAUCACACUGAAUUGAUCACUGUGGCUUUACAGUAAAUCUUAAUACUCAGUAGUGUGAUUCCUCAAAAUUUAUUCUUCAUCAAAAUUGUUUUGGUUUUCUAAAUUCUUUUUCUUGCCAUAUAAAUUUUAGAAGCAGUUUGUCUACAUUUACAAAAGAUUCUGCUGAGACCUCUGUUGGAAUCAUGUUAAAUCUAUAAAUCAAUUUAGAGAGCACUGCCAUAUUUACUACGUUGAGUCUUCUAAUCCAUGAACAUGACUGCACAUACAUGGAUCCCAGGCUGCUUGAUACUGUUCUUCAUCCUCCUUCACAGACUCCAAAUACGUGGAUCCCAGGCUGCUUGAUACUGUUCUCCAUCCUCCUUCGCAGACUCCAGAUACGUGGAUCCUAUUACCCUAAUAUCGUUCUGCAGGUUGCUGAAGAUCUCUUCUUUUUCUUUUAGUCUUAUUCUCUCUGUGAUGCAUAUUGAAUUGUUUCUGUUUCACUCUUCAGGUUCAUUGAUCUUUCCUUCUGCAAUAUCUAACCUGCUGUAAAUACUAUUCAGUGUAUUUUAAAAACUCAGAUAUAUUUUUCAUUUCUACAAGUUUUUAAAAAUACCUUCUACUUCUCAUUAGGUUUUUUUCCCCUCAACAAUCUUGAUUAUAGGAGCAUAUUCAUAAUAGAUAAUUAAACAUUUGUAUCUGCUAAUUCUGUCAUUUCUGGUGCCUGUUUCUAUUGAUCUAUUUUUCUCCUGACUGUGAGUUAUAUGUUACUUCUUUGUAGACCUGAUAAUUUUUGACUGGGUAUUUUGGAGUUCUGGAUUCUGUUGUAUUAUUGAUAUACUCCUGUUGAGGAGUAUAGGAUUUUAUUCUGGCACAUGGCUCAAUGACUUAGGAUCAGUUUGAUCCUUUUAAGCUUUCUUUAAGAUCUGUUAGGGCAGGUCGACAUUAGUCUUUAGUUCAGCACUACUAAAGUGACACCCCACUGAGGACUCUAUGCAAUAGACUCCCAGCCCUGUUUGAGCUCCAGGAAGUGUUUGACUUACUGCUUUCUAGUGGUUCUUUCCCCAGCC